rnacentral:tRNA from 1 species
GGCUUGUUGGUCUAGUGGCACGAUUCCUGUUUGGGGUACAGGAGCUCCCGGGUUCGAACCCCGGACAAGCUC